UACCCCUAGCAAAUCUCAAAAAACCGUUCUCAGUUCGGAUUGGAGUCUGCAACUCGACUCCAUGAAGUUGGAAUCGCUAGUAAUCGCGGAUCAGCACGCCGCGGUGAAUACGUUCCCGGGCCUUGUACACACCGCCCGUCACACCAUGGGAGCUGGUUUUACCUGAAGACGGUGCGCUAACCGAAAGGGGGCAGCCGGCCACGGUAGGGUCAGCGACUGGGGUGAAG
rnacentral:rRNA from 1 species